CUCAGUUGGGAGAGCGUUAGACUGAAGAUCUAAAGGUCCCUGGUUCGAUCCCGGGUUUCGGCAAGCUCUGUUUUCUUUUUUCCCCUGCGCUCUCCGUACACGCCGGUGACAUCGACAGACCGGGGCUGUUCCCGCGCACUGAGAACGCCGCGCCCCUCUCAAGCGGGGCGGCCUCACUCCCCUCACGCGUGGACAAACAGGACGCGGAGGCUGAACGUGUGGGCCGAGCGGGCAGCAGCGCCCUCUGCCGGCAGCCGGCUGGAAUCGCAGCAGCGCUGAAUGUAACCGACCCGUGCGGGCUGUCUGCCCAACUCCUCAUUUCUUCACUUACACGGUGGAGCCAAUCGUUCGGAUUUUUCCGAAGUGUGUUUGUAAGCCUGGCAUCUGUUUUUCGGCCAAAACCAUCGCUUAGUUCCCUAGCGGUUUCCUCCUCAGAGGUUUACUGAGGUUGAACAGAAACUCGGAGAGACCACGCGCUACUGAGGGUGACUGCCGCAGGGAUGCUGACAACAGAAUCCAGUUCUUAGAACCAUCACAAGGUUGGAAAGGACCUACAGGAUCAUCUACUCCAACUGUCCUCCUUGCUACCACAAGCCACUAAACCAUAUCUGGUAGCUCCUCAUCCAGACACCUCUUGAGCACUGCCAGGGAUGGCGACUCCACCACCUCCCUGGGCAGGCCGUUCCAGUUCCUGACCACUCUCUGAGAGAAAAAAGCUUUUCCUUAUGUCUAACCUAAACCUCCUCUGGUACAACUUGUGGCCAUUUCCUCGGGUCCUGUUUGUUGCCUGGGAGCUUGUUUGGUGUGGGAUUUGGAUAGCGCACACGCAGAGUAAGGCUGCAGGCCUGAGGUGGGAGAAGCUAAUAAAACUAAGAGAUAUCCAAAAUCUGCGGGAUUUGGGUCAUCUGCUUUGUCCGUGACCAUCCUCAGCUAUCAAAUCUCUGGUUUUAGUGAAUAGAAACUGCAGACGAGACGCUCCUUCUCCUCCUUCCUGCCCCCAGACUUCUACAUCUGCCUCCUCUAGUAAGUCCUCCCCUUGUCCAUGUGGGCAGCUGCCCUCCCGGUGCUUGUUGCUGCCUUGCCUGCCUCUCUGUGGCAAGCAAACGUUACUUCUACAUGUCAUAAAAUUUGCUCUCUCAGACUGAAAAUCGGUCUGUUAGAAAGGAUUUGUAUCUGUCUCUUGACUUAGUAGCCUGUCCUAUUUACAGGCAUCCAUUAAAUCUCAUUUAGAUACGCAGUAUGAUCAAUACAAGGGAUUUAAAAAACACAAGUCAGGACUCAUGCUGAGCUUUAAGACUUUUUUUUCCCCUUAAUAGCAAGCCAUACCUGUCAUCUGUCUGUUAUCUGAUCUUAUAAAAAAGAACUAGAUUUGUGCUUUGCAGUUUUCUGGGGAAGAAAUGCAUUUAAAAAGAAAAAAAAAAUGCAGCUGAUGAUGCACUUCUAGAAUCUGGCACUACCCAUCCAGUCUUUUUUUUUUUUAUUUGCUUUGAGUUAGCAAGUUAGAAAAGCUUUAUCUGCUUGAGUUCAGCUCAGGAGCCCCAUGGAAGGAAGCCUUUUCU
ensembl:lncRNA